rnacentral:tRNA from 1 species
CCUUCGAUAGCUCAGUUGGUAGAGCGGUGGACUGUAGAGAGAGAGAUGACGCAGAAUGUGUAGUAAUCCAUAGGUCACUGGUUCAAAUCCGGUUCGAAGGA